ensembl:lncRNA
CCUACCACCAAGGCUAACCAGGGGCCGACGAAACCACAGGCUUCUAUAUUUGCGUUAGCAUGGCACACAGUACACAAGUAGUCAACCAAAUACCAGUAAAAUAGUCCUCACCAUAGCCCCGCUGCCACCAGAUGGCGCUAUUAUUCUUUACAUAUUUUGUCACCCACAGAGCAGCAUACCUAGGCAACCUUUCAGGCUUAUCUCUGCGCCUUCAGUUCCCUCAGGAGAAGUCUUCCCUCACUCCCCAUCCACCCCCAUGAAACAACACCUCUGAUAAGGGCGUCUAUCAGAGGAAGUCUUUCUGGUUCAGUUGAGAAGAAUGAAGUUGGCUUACUCAAAGUUUAUCUUGACGCAAGACAAGAGUGGGGUUGUUUUCUGUCAUAACUUGUCUGUAGUUCACCGUUGCUGAAUUUAUUGAGUGCUUAAAUAUGUGAAGAGUUUAUUUCCAAAACUCCAUAUCCACCAAUUUUUCACAUUUGUGUUAUUUCAUCAGAAAUGAUUGCCAAUGGGUACCUUCAUGUGUGUGUAAAAUAUUACUGUUCUCAGAUGUUUUAUUUUGUCGAUUUUAUGAAUGUGUUUUUUUGCAAAACGCUAUAUAUCCAUUGUUUAGCUGGAUUGGAAUGUUCAUAUCCUGUAUAUUUGACUGUGAUGUUGUUGUCUCACAAAGCUAUCUUAAGGUGGAUUGCACUAACUGUAAGUCGCUCUGGAUAAGAGCAUCUGCUAAAUGACUUAAAUGUAAAAUGUUAAUGUUUUACAUACAGAUCUCAUAUUACUGAAUUGAAUUAUUAUUAUUAUUUUAUUAUCUUAUUUAUAUUGAUGUCACAAAUGUAUCAUUUGUACAGUUCUUUAUAAAAAAUGUAGUUAUUUGUUACAUUUGACUGUAAAACCUAGCAGUGCUACUUAUUUCUCUGAGAGGCAGAUAUACAGCAUUUUGCAAAAAAAAAUGGUUGAUUAUUUGUGUCUCUGGAAUUAAACCAUCAAGUGAUAGAUUUUAAACAAAUAUGUCUGUCAUUGAACAUGCCAUAAUAAAAAACACAG